UCGAUGUUUCUAACUCUCUAUCUCUCUCCCUUCCUCUCUGUAAAAAAUCAAUAAAAUAUAUUAAAAAAAUAACUUUCUGGUUAGGUUGUCUCGAUUAGAAUGAGGCAGACAACCCAAGUGACUGCUGGCGUCCUUCGCUCGGAGGCCCGCGGUCCUGGGAACAAAGCCUGGAUGGGGGAGUCCGAUCCGGGAUCCAUCCUUACACUAGAGUUCCUACUGGCUCUGCAUCUUCGAGCUGAUUGACUUCCCCAGAUGAAAUUCGUGUGUGUGUGUGUGUGUGUGUGUGUGUGUGUGUGUGUGUGUGUUCGGUGAGAAGUCAACGAGUUAAAGCCCCAGGUGGGUGCACAGGGAGGAGCUGGAUCAAAGUUAGCAUCUCCUCGUCAAGCCUACGUUUCUCUCGCUUCUUGUAGAAACCUCGACUUCUUCUGUGGACCGGCUUCCCCUCGUACCCCCAAAUCUGGGCACGUGGCUAUUUUUUUUUCUAUUUAUUUUAAACAUGAAAAGACAUACAUGUCCAAUGACAUGUAAUGACACACUCAAUGAAUAGCCUUGGUGGAGAAUCAUAUUCACACGCAGCCAGGGCUGCGCUGGGAAGCCGAGGCGUCGGUGUCCCCCCUCCUCCCGCACACACCCCUGCUCUGGCGUCUAAACGCUCCGGGGUGGAGUUUAAAGGCAGCUUCGGCGUCCAGCCCAGCCGGUGCGCACGUCCCACCUGCCCGCCAGCCCGGCCGCGCACACCUGAGGGCGGGCGGGGCCCAGAGCUGAGCGCUGCCACUGGCUGCGGGCAGUUUGGGGGGAAUUCGCCAAGCGGGGCAGGCGAGUGCGUGCAUUUCUGGAAGCGGACACCCCGACGGGGCCUCGGGUUACGGGGGAUGGUCAUCUCCUUCGGAACCAGGAGGAGACACUGUGCUGCCCUUACCUGGGCGGGAAGCCUCGGACCAAACCAUUCCUCCCGGCGCGUUCCGAUGGCAGCGAGAGAGAGGGUACCAACUCCAAAUGUUUACCCAGGUUCACUUACUGGGCGGCCGCGUGUGUCGGUCGUCAUUUAUUCUAUUGAGUGCAUUGGCAGUCACGGAGCUCUGUGCUUACACAGGGGGCUAAAUAAGUGACCGAUCUCAGGGGACCCCCCCGCCGCUCUGAAGAAAUGGAAGCGCCCGCCGGGCGUCCCUGUGGUCCACGCGCAGCUCAGCCGAGUCCGGCCGGGGCUCCGCGCGGCGCGCCAGCUGCGGGCGGCGGGGUGCUGGGCUGCGGGGGUGGCUCUGACUCUCACCGGAGAUGUCAUGCUGCAUCUCAAUUCGUUCAUGUAGCCGAUUAGAAAUAAUAGCAGGACCUCCGCCGAUCGGGUGUUCUAUGUGCCCAGCCCUGUGCUGAGGACGUUUUCUGAAUUCAUCAUUUAACCCUCCCAAGCUAAGGCUGGCCAUCCCGUGGCAGGUGCUGUACGAUCGCCGCUUCACAGGUGAGGAGGCUGAAGAAAAGAGGUGGAGCAAGUGGCAGAGCCCGAGCCCUCUGGCUGCGACGCCUACGAUCUUACACGGCUGUCCUCUGCCUCCUCCCACGCAGCGCGAAACAGCCGAGAAGCAGCGAUGCAGGCGCCCAGGCCACCCACCAGCGUGACCUCUGCUUCGCCGCGCGCACCCGAGCUGGAACCGGGCUGGAGAGGCGAUGGCACGUAGCCCUCCAGUCGCUCGCUCAUCGCUGUCAUCACCAGAAAGAGAAGCUAGUCAAGGGCUGAGCACAAGGGGGAAUUCGUGAGACGCUCUUGAGGACGACUAUGCUACUCACAGGAAGAAAAUGGAGCCUCAGAGAGGUUACCUGCCUAGAUGAAGGGUCACACAGCCAGGAAGAAACAGAACGGAGACUGUAAUUGAGAUUGCCUCGAGCUCUUCACCAGUUCGUGACACUGUAUGAGGCCGGCAGUGAUAGAAACGUGCAAAUCUAUGCGCUCCACGUCCUCCACCCCCCACCCCGUGAUUUGGGCAACUGUGAAUAAAUGUGACAACUGAGCAAGGCCGGUGGAGUCUGAAUCCCAGGAACUUCUCACAUAGAUCUCCUAUUUGCUUGCUAGUAUUCUUGAAGGGGCUUGACAGAAUCCACCUAAUACAUACAGUUCUUCCAGAACACUCGUAUUUUGCUGUGCUUUUCUCUGAAGUUUUCCCUGCCCCUGGACUUCACCAUGGACUGCACCCACUCUACAGGGACUGUCAUGUGUUCAAAGCACAGUGAAUAGGAAUCUGACAAUAAAAUAGCCAAGCCAAGACCAUGAAGCAACAUCUAAGGACAGUUAAACAGAAAGACGGCGACCUGGGACCUGAUGGCAUCAGAGAGUCACUAUACCAACCCGGAACCCAUCUAACUUCAGAUUCCUUAUCUCCUGCAUGAAAGCUUGACCUUGACCUAGCUGCUUCUAAAACAACAAUUCUGAAUUCAAAUGAGUAGCAAUCAGAAGUUUUGCAAGAUCUGCAUUCUUUCACAUUAUUCUUCACACCAGUAAAAGAAAAUGGGGAUAUAACCGGAACUCUCUGGAACUUUCUUCAACUGAUAUAAGUGCCUCAUGUAAAUAGGGAGGUUUUAGCACCUUCUGGUCUUCUCCAUGCA